GCCACAUGAUGCGAGACAGAUUGCAUGAGCGUUACUGCAAAGAUGACCAUCUAUCUAUCACCCAAGACUGAUGGCU